rnacentral:rRNA from 1 species
GCGAACGCUGGCGGCAGGCCUCACACAUGCAAGUCGCACGAACUCUUCGGAGUUAGUGGCGGACGGGUGAGUAACACGUGGGAACGUGCCUUUAGGUUCGGAAUAACUCAGGGAAACUUGUGCUAAUACCGAAUGUGCCCUUCGGGGGAAAGAUUUAUCGCCUUUAGAGCGGCCCGCGUCUGAUUAGCUAGUUGGUGAGGUAAAGGCUCACCAAGGCGACGAUCAGUAGCUGGUCUGAGAGGAUGAUCAGCCACAUUGGGACUGAGACACGGCCCAAACUCCUACGGGAGGCAGCAGUGGGGAAUCUUGCGCAAUGGGCGAAAGCCUGACGCAGCCAUGCCGCGUGAAUGAUGAAGGUCUUAGGAUUGUAAAAUUCUUUCACCGGGGACGAUAAUGACGGUACCCGGAGAAGAAGCCCCGGCUAACUUCGUG